rnacentral:snRNA from 1 species
AUGCUCACUUCAGCAACACAUAACAGUAAAACUGGAACGAUGCAGAGAAGAUUACUAGGGCCCCUGUGCAAGGAUGACAUGCAAAUUCAUUCCAUAUUUUU